GACGAACGCUGGCGGCGUGCUUAACACAUGCAAGUCGAACGGAAAGGCCCUGCUUUUGUGGGGUGCUCGAGUGGCGAACAGGUGAGUAACACGUGAGUAACCUGCCCUUGACUUUGGGAUAACUUCAGGAAACUGGGGCUAAUACCGGAUAGGAGCUCCUGCUGCAUGGUGGGGGUUGGAAAGUUUCGGCGGUUGGGGAUGGACUCGCGGCUUAUCAGCUUGUUGGUGGGGUAGUGGCUUACCAAGGCUUUGACGGGUAGCCGGCCUGAGAGGGUGACCGGCCACAUUGGGACUGAGAUAGGGCCCAGACUCCUACGGGGGGCAGCAGUGGGGAAUAUUGCACAAUGGGCGGAAGCCUGAUGCAGCAACGCCGCGUGCGGGAUGACGGCCUUCGGGUUGUAAACCGCUUUCGCCUGUGACGAAGCGUGAGUGACGGUAAUGGGUAAAGAAGCACCGGCUAACUACGUG
rnacentral:rRNA from 1 species